CCUGGAGGCCGCCAUGAUCAAGCUCCUCCGUGCCGCUGGGGUCUCACGGUGGGUCUCCUGGCGGACCCUCCGUGGUGCUGUCUGCCGGCAGGCCUCUUCCCCGGCCCUUCUCGACUACUGCCUUAAGGGCCUCGCAGGGAAACCCGCCGAGGACGGCAUGGCAGUCGCCGUGCGGUGCAACGCUGACACCAGAGCCAUAGAAUUCAGGUAAGCUAGUACCAGUAUUGCUACUAUUUACUUACUACAAACUCUCUAUGUAACCUAAUCGUGUGGGCCUUCUUACCUUUGUCUUCAGUCUUGAGCCGGUCGGUGGGGACCGGAGGGCGGGGUUGAGCGGGCCGUCGAGACAUCAGAUCUUGCGGGAUCUGAGGUUCUUGUACGACGCGCUGCUGAAUCCCGGCACGAUGCAUCCCUACAGGCCGCGGCCGCUGCGGCAGCUGGCGCAGCAGUCCGCGAUGAGGCUCCUCGACUGCAAGCAAUUCAUCAAGGACUACGACAAGAGCAGCAGCCCAUUCGGUGGGCCCAACCCGCUAGUGAUCCGCGUGUGGUGCCAGCCGGAGCUCGACCAGCCAAAGCAUUACGCGGCGCCACCGGCGGAGCUGGUAGUGCUGCCGGUGACGGCCACAGUAGGGGACCUGAAGGCGGAGGCCACCAGGGCCUUCAGGGAGACCUACCUGGCCUUCCAGAGGUUCCACGUCGAGCAGCUCUCGGAAUACGGGGACGUGGCUGACCGCGCCCCUGUAAAACUCCUGGUUGGCUCGGAGGGGACCGUGCGGGUGAGGGGGCGGUGGAGCGGGGGGGACCUACAGAGGCUGGGGCAGUUCCGGAUGGAGAGAGGGUUGGAGAACUGGACGGUGGACUGCACCUGCGGGGCCAAGGACGACGAUGGUGAAAGAAUGUUGGCCUGCGAUGCGUGCGGCGUGUGGCAGCACACGCGCUGCUCCGGCAUCGACGACGCCAUGGAGGUGCCCUCAAAGUUCGUUUGCCGGAGGUGCUCGGGCCCGCGGCGGCCCGGCGGGCCAGGGAGGAAGUGUAGAUACCCUAGGGACUCUGGAAUGAGCGGGAGGUGCUCAACCAAUGCAGCCGCUGCCCCGUCGUUUAUAGACGGCGGCGGCCACGGGUGCCUAACCCAAGUCCGGUGACUUGUAAGUAUGUGUAAUCCAAGAUGUACAGUUUCUGGCCUGGGACUUUCAUGGCUGCUCCUAUCUAAUGCCUGAAAAUUUCUUUUCUGAGCCUACCACACUAUCUAUUUCUUCUCCUAUUGGGUGGUUGGUCAUAGAGGUGGAUGUGGGCCGAAUGAGGGAUAUGGAUCUAGUCUGCUGGGGUGUUGUUCCAAGGUAAGGCCGAUAGAUAGAAGCAAUUAUGAGAAUCAGUGAGCGUGAGGGCGUACCGUUGACAUGUUACAUCAUAGCAUGGUGGGCGUUCUGAGAAUGCCUUGUUGGUUAAAAGCCCGGUGGUCUUUCGGGGCGAGUCUUCCACUUGUUUCCGUUGCCAGUGACCAGCGCAUUGAUUAGUUCGGCAAGGCCGGCACUGCAACUCGGCAGAUCAAUGCAUCAACCCCAAUUAUAGAAAUGAAAGGUUAAAAAUAGGUAUCCACGGUUUCAAAAAGAAGGUCGCGCAAUUAUCUCUGAUUCUUACCAAGAAACUAGAGACAGAAACCAAACGGCCGGCUCUUCAGGGAGAUGUCAGGGGUUGAACUCCCGCUUCACCAAGAAUGGUCCUUAACGCUGUUCCUGAAGUAAGACGAGUCACAUCCAUCUCAAAUGAAGUAAAGAUCGCAUGUUCGCAUGAGGUGCUAGGAAGAAUCUCAUCAGUGAUUGACUGAGGCGUCAGGGAGUUCCAUGAUUCCCAUUAAACGAAACAAUUCAUGUUCGAUGAUGAUCGAAUGAAUUGAUGAUAAAGAAAAAUUACGAAAUGAAGGCAACUUCUCCAUAUUUCAAUUAUCAUCUAUUUCUUAUACACUUUAUUGUCUUGGGGAAUACCGCUAUUAAGGUUUUAAAUAUUAAAUAAAAUUAUGGCACUCCGAGAUGGCGUAAUCAUGUUUUCUCCAAGAUACAGUAUCAUUUCCUAUCCAGGCCAGAGUCAGAUCCGAAGAAGGUAAAAUAAUCUUGCACAUAAUACGACAGUGGGAUUCUGAUUUCUGAGAUUGAUUAGGCAAGAAAACAUGCAAUGCAUUUAACUAUAGAUGGAAUAUCGCGCAGAGGUUACCUAAAAAUCUUGCACAUGCUACGGCAGUGGUAUCUAUACAGACGUAAUGCUGCUGGAAUUGCGUAUGAGGAAACCAAACUUGCCUUAAGUGGAAGGAAUUCACUCCUUGCCAAAAGCGGAAAUGUACGUCUUCAAUGAAGUAAUCUUGCUUUACUUAGUGGGCCAUUACCUGAGAUCACAAAAUCGGAGACCAGGUUGUUGACGACCCACGAUGAGGGAAAAAAGCGUCAUCGCAAAUUAUCUUUCACGAUUUCCUUCUCAUUGAAAUCUGCAAAUCCAUUAGAACAGGAGGCAUAAAAAAUCUGGAUGCACAGGCUGUGUUGUUGAUGAAAGACGGCUUUGGACAGCAAAUCAAAGAAAUCGAGAUUUGUUGUUCGUUGUUCUUCACUCUCUCCCCACCCAGCGCCACCCAAAUCUACCUCUUUUUCGUCAUCCUGCGGGGUCUUUGUAUCUGCAAGCGCGAGGAGAAUUUUGUUACAAGCGACAGAUGAAAGGUUACUUCAGCAUUCUCUAUUUUCAUUGUCAUAAUAUCACGAGACAACAAUCGGAUCAUGAUUGUCCAGAACUAAUAAGAAAAUGGGAAAUUUUAUCAUUACCAUUCCUGCUUAAUCAAGGGAUUGAAAAGCCAUAACUGAAAUUUUUAACAAGGGACAAACGCAUUGAAAAGUUAAAUCCAAGAAGAUCAUUAUAACGACAAUUAACAGCAGACAUUUUACGAACGUCUAACAUGAGGAAUAGCACGAUCUACUAGAGAGCACCUGAACGGAGUAGCCAAAAAAAGUAGUAACAAUAAAUGAAUUUGUGAUAAGAAGCUCUACAUGAGUACAUUCUCGAAACCAAUUAUUGGAAACAAAUAGGAGUGGAAUUUCGAAUUGGACUUCCUACCCGAUAUAGAUAAAUAUUCCUACGACUAAAAGAUCACAAAUAACUUAAAUAUUCAAGACAGCAAGACUAUACACUUACUAUGGAAUAGUUGAUUUUCAUAUAUUUGACAUACAAAUUCCAAGACUGUCUUCUUUAUUUGAAAGAAAGAGUCAAACAAGCCAUGUUAUGUUAAAGCAAAACGAAAAACUAGAUUAGCAGAGGUUAACAUUGCUAUGAAAGUGUGGAUAAAUUCGAAGAAGAACACGAUAAGGAAGCCUAAGAGGGAGGAACAUGGCUUCUGAUAAAUCAAUAGCGCCCCCCUCUCGCAGCAUAGAGUAAUAGUAAAAUUCAGGUGCAAAAAAUUUAGUCCACAUGAAAAUCUCCGACUGAACGUCUAAUUAUUUGAAUAAUAUUUCCUGAACAUAGGCAAGCAUAAAAAAUUGGAAUUUAAUUCACUUAAUCAACAUUCACAGGGGUUGUAGAAAAUCAUUUCGUCAAGAUCAAGCUAUUUCUUUCAAGGUAAUUAGGGGUGAGAGGGUGUUACAAGGGAUCUUUGCCAACACUGAAAAGGCCGAAAAAAACAUUGUAUGCAAAGAAAACUACAUUCACGGUAUGGAGUGGGUUCAUGGUCCUGCAUUUAGAUUUCAAGUGGAUGUCAGCGGUUGCACACUGACUGACCAUCUAUGAUGAAUGAUCUAUUGCACGUAUCUAAUUAGAGCAGCUUAAUGGCACUUGAUUGAAAUGAAGAUGCAGGAUAAAGAUCAAUUUAAUAUCAGAUGUAAUCACUUCAUAGCAUUAUUAAAUUCUUUAUUAAUGUUGCAAGCCCCACGAAGGAUUAAACCUAAUAAAUUACUGUCAAAGUACAGUAUAAUUAUCUUUCCUUCUUUCUCCACUAGCUGGGUGCGAGUGCAUAACUUGGAAAUAGCAUCGUAAAACAGAUAUGCAACAUUUGACUUAAGCAUUCAACUUAUUAACUGAUAAUAAAAUUUUACAAUGAGAUACCUCUAAUGUCCGACAAAGAAAAACAAUGGACUUUCCUCUUCAAGCUUCUUUGAAUAGUCAGUACUGUUUUAAAUGAUGGAGACAAAGUAAGAUUUCUCACACCAGUGAGAGACGUUUAGAAUUUCGCAAAACAAAAACGCAACCGAACGAAAAAUGUCACGUAUUUAUUCUGAUUAAAUAAACAUUGAACCUUCGAUCUAACAACCAUAGGCAAGAAUAAAAACUGUACAGAGCCAAGUGUAGACAACUAGGUCAAUGGAAACAACUACAAGACUAAGAUAAAAAGAUAAGUCAAUACAAUCACAUUGAAAGCUUGUUUGAUUUAUAUUAAGGAAAAAAAAUCUUAGGUUUGUCAGAACAUCGGAUACAACAGAGAGCCGGUAUCAUCCAUCUAUCGUGCAGGAUGUUAUUAGGAACUCGAGGAAGGAACAUUUGUCCGAAAACAUAUCUCUGAUCGUGUUCCCAGUCUAACUUUUGGACAGCGCGGGAUUUUUUUCCCUUACGAAACCUCCGCAAAUCAUGCACCCAAUCUGGAACCCGACCAACGCAAAAAAUGCCACAUGGUAAGAAAUAACUCAACAUCCUCACCAUCAUCAUAGCAGAUAGAACAUUAAAUCUGGAACAAGUGAAAUCUCCAAUAACGGCCUCGAAAAGCGCUUUAAUCCAAGAUAGACAAUACACAAAACUCCCAGCGACAGAUGUUCUCCCCAUGGAAGCUCCACGAAACAACCGAAACAUCACGCAGCUCACCGGACAUUUACGAAUGCAGAGCGAAUUGAGCAAGGAAAAAGGAAGACAAAAGAAGAACAAUACGACAACAGAGAGGGGAGGGUUGCCACCUGCCGUUGGACGAGAGCUUCUGAAGCAGGAUGGCGCAAUCCGGCGGAAGAACCAGCGGGAGCCUGAGGAAGAGCCCAGCGGAGGAUCUAUCCAAGCCCUAGACAGAGAGAAUUCAGUCCACAGAUGCGGCAAAUCCCUCUCUCCUCUCCCCUCUCCCCCAUCUAUACAGCUCUUGAGUCGGGCGGUAUAGAUCGUGAUGGGAUUGAGGUGGGGUUCGCGCGUG
rnacentral:lncRNA from 1 species